UGGGGAAUUUUGGACAAUGGGCGAAAGCCUGAUCCAGCAAUGCCGCGUGUGUGAAGAAGGCCUUCGGGUUGUAAAGCACUUUUGUCCGGAAAGAAAUCCUUGGCUCUAAUACAGUCGGGGGAUGACGGUACCGGAAGAAUAAGCACCGGCUAACUACGUGCCAGCAGCCGCGGUAAUACGUAGGGUGCAAGCGUUAAUCGGAAUUACUGGGCGUAAAGCGUGCGCAGGCGGUUUGCUAAGACCGAUGUGAAAUCCCCGGGCUCAACCUGGGAACUGCAUUGGUGACUGGCAGGCUAGAGUAUGGCAGAGGGGGGUAGAAUUCCACGUGUAGCAGUGAAAUGCGUAGAGAUGUGGAGGAAUACCGAUGGCGAAGGCAGCCCCCUGGGCCAAUACUGACGCUCAUGCACGAAAGCGUGGGGAGCAAACAGGAUUAGAUACCCUGGUAGUCCACGCCCUAAACGAUGUCAACUAGUUGUUGGGGGAUUCAUUUCCUUAGUAACGUAGCUAACGCGUGAAGUUGACCGCCUGGGGAGUACGGUCGCAAGAUUAAAACUCAAAGGAAUUGGCGGGGUCAUNGCUGUUUCCU
rnacentral:rRNA from 1 species